rnacentral:rRNA from 1 species
AUAAACUCCGAAUGCCAUGUACUUAUACUCGGGAGUCAGACUGCGAGUGAUAAGAUCCGUAGUCGAAAGGGAAACAGCCCAGACCACCAGUUAAGGUCCCCAAAUAUAUGUUAAGUGGAAAAGGAUGUGGGGUUGCUUAGACAACCAGGAUGUUGGCUUAGAAGCAGCCACCAUUGAAAGAGUGCGUAAUAGCUCACUGGUCGAGUGACCCCGCGCCGAAAAUGUACCGGGGCUAAACAUAUUACCGAAACUGUGGAUGAACCUCUUUAGAGGUUCGUGGUAGGAGAGCGUUCUAAGGGCGGUGAAGUCAGACCGGAAGGACUGGUGGAGCGCUUAGAAGUGAGAAUGCCGGUAUGAGUAGCGAAAGAAGGGUGAGAAUCCCUUCCACCGAAUAUCUAAGGUUUCCUGAGGAAGGCUCGUCCGCUCAGGGUUAGUCGGGACCUAAGCCGAGGCCGAUAGGCGUAGGCGAUGGACAACAGGUAGAGAUUCCUGUACCAGUGCUAAUUGUUUAACCGAUGGGGUGACACAGAAGGAUAGGGAAUCGCACGAAUGGAAAUGUGCGUCCAAGCAGUGAGUGUGAGAAGUAGGCAAAUCCGCUUCUCGCGAAGCAUGAGCUGUGAUGGGGAAGGAAAUUAAGUACGGAAGUUCCUGAUUUCACGCUGUCAAGAAAAGCCUCUAGGAAGAGUAGUACUGCCCGUACCGCAAACCGACACAGGUAGAUGAGGAGAGAAUCCUAAGGUGAGCGAGAGAACUCUCGUUAAGGAACUCGGCAAAAUGACCCCGUAACUUCGGGAGAAGGGGUGCUCUAUUAGGGUGCAAGCCCGAGAGAGCCGCAGUGAAUAGGCCCAGGCGACUGUUUAGCAAAAACACAGGUCUCUGCAAAACCGUAAGGUGACGUAUAGGGGCUGACGCCUGCCCGGUGCUGGAAGGUUAAGAGGAGUGCUUAGCUUCGGCGAAGGUACGAAUUGAAGCCCCAGUAAACGGCGGCCGUAACUAUAACGGUCCUAAGGUAGCGAAAUUCCUUGUCGGGUAAGUUCCGACCCGCACGAAAGGCGCAACGAUCUGGGCACUGUCUCAACGAGAGACUCGGUGAAAUUAUAGUACCUGUGAAGAUGCAGGUUACCCGCGACAGGACGGAAAGACCCCGUGGAGCUUUACUGCAACCUGAUAUGGAAUGUUUGUACCGCUUGUACAGGAUAGGUAGGAGCCGAAGAGACGUGUGCGCUAGCAUACGAGGAGGCAAUGGUGGGAUACUACCCUGGCUGUAUGACCAUUCUAACCCGCCACGCUUAGCGCGUGGGGAGACAGUGUCAGGUGGGCAGUUUGACUGGGGCGGUCGCCUCCUAAAGAGUAACGGAGGCGCCCAAAGGUUCCCUCAGAAUGGAUGGAAAUCAUUCGCAGAGUGUAAAGGCACAAGGGAGCUUGACUGCGAGACUGACAAGUCGAGCAGGGACGAAAGUCGGGCUUAGUGAUCCGGUGGUUCCGCAUGGAAGGGCCAUCGCUCAACGGAUAAAAGCUACCCCGGGGAUAACAGGCUUAUCUCCCCCAAGAGUCCACAUCGACGGGGAGGUUUGGCACCUCGAUGUCGGCUCGUCGCAUCCUGGGGCUGUAGUCGGUCCCAAGGGUUGGGCUGUUCGCCCAUUAAAGCGGCACGCGAGCUGGGUUCAGAACGUCGUGAGACAGUUCGGUCCCUAUCCGUCGCGGGCGCAGGAAAUUUGAGAGGAGCUGUCCUUAGUACGAGAGGACCGGGAUGGACACACCGCUGGUGUACCAGUUGUUCCGCCAGGAGCAUCGCUGGGUAGCUAUGUGUGGCAGGGAUAAACGCUGAAAGCAUCUAAGCGUGAAGCCCCCCUCAAGAUGAGAUUUCCCAUUUCUUCGGAAAGUAAGAUCCCUGAAAGAUGAUCAGGUAGAUAGGUUUGGAGUGGAAGUGUAGCGAUACAUGGAGCGGACAAAUACUAAUCGAUCGAGGACUUAACCAA